rnacentral:rRNA from 1 species
GGGGUACACGAGUGGCGAACGGGUGAGUAACACGUGAGUAACCUGCCCUCAUCUCUGGGAUAACAGUCGGAAACGGUUGCUAAUACUGGAUAUGAGCUUGCAAGGCAUCUUGUGGGUUGGAAAGAUAUUUUUUGGUUGGGGAUGGACUCGCGGCCUAUCAGCUUGUUGGUGAGGUAGUGGCUCACCAAGGCUUCGACGGGUAGCCGGCCUGAGAGGGCGACCGGCCACAUUGGGACUGAGAUACGGCCCAAACUCCUACGGGAGGCAGCAGUGGGGAAUAUUGCACAAUGGACGGAAGUCUGAUGCAGCAACGCCGCGUGCGGGAUGACGGCCUUCGGGUUGUAAACCGCUUUCAAUUGUGACGAAGCUUUUUUGUGACGGUAGCAGUAGAAGAAGCACCGGCUAACUACGUGCCAGCAGCCGCGGUGAUACGUAGGGUGCGAGCGUUGUCCGGAUUUAUUGGGCGUAAAGAGCUUGUAGGCGGUUUGUCGCGUCGGGAGUGAAAACUUGGGGCUUAACCCUGAGCUUGCUUUCGAUACGGGCUGACUUGAGGGAGGUAGGGGAGAAUGGAAUUCCUGGUGGAGCGGUGGAAUGCGCAGAUAUCAGGAGGAACACCGGUGGCGAAGGCGGUUCUCUGGACCUUUCCUGACGCUGAGAAGCGAAAGCGUGGGGAGCGAACAGGCUUAGAUACCCUGGUAGUCCACGCCGUAAACGGUGGGUACUAGGUGUGGGGGACAUUCCACGUUCUCCGUGCCGUAGCUAACGCAUUAAGUACCCCGCCUGGGGAGUACGGCCGCAAGGCUAAAACUCAAAGGAAUUGACGGGGCCCCGCACAAGCGGCGGAGCAUGCGGAUUAAUUCGAUGCAACGCGAAGAACCUUA